UACGUAGGGUGCAAGCGUUGUCCGGAAUUAUUGGGCGUAAAGAGCUCGUAGGCGGUUCGUCGCGUCGGCUGUGAAAACCUGAGGCUCAACCUCAGGCCUGCAGUCGAUACGGGCGGACUGAGUACUGCAGGGGAGACUGGAAUUCCUGGUGUAGCGGUGAAAUGCGCAGAUAUCGGGAGGAACGCCCGUGGCGAAAGCGAGGUCUG
rnacentral:rRNA from 1 species